rnacentral:rRNA from 1 species
ACGUAGGAGGCGAGCGUUAUCCGGAUUUACUGGGCGUAAAGCGCGUGCAGGUGGUUUGGUAAGUUGGAUGUGAAAGCUCCUGGCUUAACUGGGAGAGGUCGUUCAAUACUACUAAACUUGAGUGUGGGAGAGGGAGGCGGAAUUCCGGGUGUAGUGGUGAAAUGCUUAUAUAUCCGGAGGAACACCAGUGGCGAAAGCGGCCUCCUGGACCGUUUCUGACGCUCAGUCGCGAAAUCUAGGGGAGCAAACGG